rnacentral:lncRNA from 1 species
ACAUUUUAGCAGCUGUUGCAGUGUGAGCUUCUUGCGGCUAUGACACUUAUAUUUUUGUUUUCUAUCAUAGUUAAUCUUUUGGUCCGGCUAUAACCUAUUGACUUUGUUUCUCUGGGGACACAUUGCUGUUCAUAUAUAUCAGCGCUGAUUAUGCUUCGGUGUAUUUUUUUUCUUCUUCAUGGAAUUCGAAAGUCUAGCCUGGACCAUGAAAAGGAUGCAAGGUCUGCUUGAUUCUUGUCAUUUCUCACUGGAUUUCUUUAAUUGCAGACUCCCUUCUUACCCGUCAACGCAUGACCUACCCAAGAAUGAUGUUUUGACAGAAGCAGCAGUCAACGAGGUGAGUGACAAUCUCUUUUAGUUCAAUUCUGUACGGACGUGGGGUGGCAAGUGUGUAAAUGGAUACACAUAGCGGAUCCUAUGCUUGUAGUUUUGGUAUAGGAUGCAUAAAGAAUUACUAAUUAACCCCACAGUCAAUUUUUGAACAAUGAUUGCUCCGUUUCUUUUAAACUCUCAGUUUGAUUGUUCAGCCUUCACAGAAGGGUAGAAAAGGAGAAUGGAAAGAACUUUGUGUCCCCCUCCCAAAAAAAAUUUCUGGGGAAAAGAGCACUGAAGAAAAAUGUACUGCAGGAGUUUUGUAGUAUAACUUGCUAUUUUUAGGAGUUUUUGUAGAAAAGUAUAUUGUAGAGGAUUGAUAUAUAUGAGAUAAAAAAAUAUUUGAAAAAUGUAUUCACGAAAAAUAUAAAAAUUUUUCUAUGUUUCUGCUCUUAGUUUCUUUUCUUUUAAUUGUGGAAAGUGUUGUUACUUAAUGCGCUCCCUUUGAGUUAGUGUGAGAGAGAUGUAGACCAUUCAGAGGACGCUCCAUUCUUAUCAACCACUUGGCCUGCCGAAUUUUGCAAUGAAUUAUGGCCAGAAAAUGCUUCUGAUGCAGUAUGUGUAGGAGAUGAGAAUGUUCUGCUGGCCUAGACAAUGAGUUUGUCUUCUGGACUUUAAAGAUGCCAUAUAUUUCUUCACCACCAUUUUUCUGUAAGUCUUCACCACCCUCUAUAUUUGUUAAUGCAUAUUUUGAUGGGGCAGCUGUUCCAAUUCUUUUUCUGUUUUUUUUUUUUUUUUAUGUGGUUGAUCAAAAACUAUUCUUUGUUAAGAAUUUUUACAACUGUCCAGUUACUCAGCUUAGUUGAUAGUCAAAUUGGAGGCAGUAAAAUUAAGUUAAUCACAGCUAUUUGAAAACCCUAAUAACUGGAAUUGAAUUGAUACCCACCUACCUUUUUUUGUUCUUUGCCCAGGGGACAAGCAGCAUGGAGAUGGACUAGGGCUUAAGGAUCACUAGUAUAUCUGAGUCUCAGCAUGUAAAUAUGUCUUGUUGACUAUGACGGACGUUCACCUUUUGCCUAUGUGCUUUUUGAUGAAUCAAUUAGAGCUUAUGGCAUGGUAGAUUGGUUUUA